GACGAACGCUGGCGGCGUGCUUAACACAUGCAAGUCGAACGGUAAGGCCCUUCGGGGUACACGAGUGGCGAACGGGUGAGUAACACGUGGGUGAUCUGCCCUGCACUUCGGGAUAAGCCUGGGAAACUGGGUCUAAUACCGGAUAGGACCACUGCCUGCAUGGGUGGUGGUGGAAAGCUUUUGCGGUGUGGGAUGGGCCCGCGGCCUAUCAGCUUGUUGGUGGGGUGAUGGCUUACCAAGGCGACGACGGGUAGCCGGCCUGAGAGGGGGACCGGCCACACUGGGACUGAGGUACUGCCCAGACUCCUACGGGAGGCAGCAGUGGGGAAUAUUGCACAAUGGGCGCAAGGCUGAUGCAGCGACGCCGCGUGAGGGAUGACGGCCUUCGGGUUGUAAACCUCUUUCAGCACCGACGAAGCGCAAGUGACGGUAGGUGCAGAAGAAGGACCGGCCAACUACGUGCCAGCCGCCGCGGUAA
rnacentral:rRNA from 1 species